GUGCUUAACACAUGCAAGCUCGAACGGUGAUGAGGAGCUUGCUUCUCUGAUCAGUGGCGAACGGGUGAGUAACACGUGAGCAAUCUGCCCUUGACUCUGGGAUAAGCGUUGGAAACGACGUCUAAUACCGGAUACGACCUUGGAAGGCAUCUUCUGGGGUGGAAAGAAUUUUGGUCAAGGAUGAGCUCGCGGCCUAUCAGCUAGUUGGUGAGGUAAUGGCUCACCAAGGCGACGACGGGUAGCCGGCCUGAGAGGGUGACCGGCCACACUGGGACUGAGACACGGCCCAGACUCCUACGGGAGGCAGCAGUGGGGAAUAUUGCACAAUGGGCGAAAGCCUGAUGCAGCAACGCCGCGUGAGGGACGACGGCCUUCGGGUUGUAAACCUCUUUUAGUAGGGAAGAAGCGUAAAAGUGACGGUACCUGCAGAAAAAGCACCGGCUAACUACGUGCCAGCAGCCGCGGUAAUACGUAGGGUGCAAGCGUUGUCCGGAAUUAUUGGGCGUAAAGAGCUCGUAGGCGGUUUGUCGCGUCUGCUGUGAAAACCGAGGCUCAACCUCGGGCCUGCAGUGGGUACGGGCAGACUAAAUUGCGGUANGGGAGAUUGGAAUUCCUGGUGUANCGGUGGAAUGCGCAGAUUUUANGGAGGAACACCAAUGGCNAAGGCANAUCUCUGGGCCGUACUGACCU
rnacentral:rRNA from 1 species